UACGUAGGGUGCAAGCGUUAAUCGGAUUUAUUGGGCGUAAAGAGCGUGUAGGCGGCCAGGUAGGUCUGCUGUGAAAACUCGAGGCUUAACCUCGAGAUGUCGGCGGAAACCAUCUGGCUAGAGUCCGGAAGAGGAGAGUGGAAUUCCUGGUGUAGCGGUGAAAUGCGCAGAUAUCAGGAAGAACACCCGUGGCGAAGGCGGCUCUCUGGGACGGUACUGACGCUGAGACGCGAAAGCGUGGGGAGCGAACAGG
rnacentral:rRNA from 1 species